UAAAAGCAACAGGAUCGCAUCCAGGUUACAGUAUUGAAAUUAGAAUCUACCACUAUUAUUACACAACAUCUCUUACCAAAUCAGAUCAUCUUCGAUAAGAAGAAUCACUGUCAACUAUUCCAGCUUGCACCAACCUCAUCAACUUUCCUGAACACUCCUCGACCACUGGAUCCUCAACUCUGUCUCCUCGCCUAGCAUUAGCCUUACUCACAAUCUCAAUCAAUCAUCUCAUCUUUAAGCCUUUCUGAAAUGGUUAGAAAGGAAUAGCAAGGGUGAGCAACAAUGCUCAGCAAGUAAUAAUAAACAAUGAUAGUUCUGAAAUGAUAUAACAGAAGUUCACGAGUUCAAGAUAUAAGAGGAUUCAACCUGAGUUCAUGAGUUCAUGGUAUUGUAUAGAAUGAUUUACAAUACCUUGCAGCAUUUAAACUGAGAAAUUCAAUCUUUCCAAAGAAUUAUUGAAUUGGACUAUCACAUUUUAAUUAAAACCAAGGUUAGGCAGCUGAUCAGUUCCGCACUAACCCCGAGCAGGCCCCGCCAUGCUCUAUCACUGGAUCCAAGGCACUCAUUGGCCUAACAUGACCACGAAUCUGGUCCACAGGUUUAUAUAAAAACAAUAAUCCAAUUCUCUAAUUCAAUUCAAGAAGCCAAUGUAAAUUAACAGAACAUCAUCAUAAAUAUCAUCAACAACAGAAUAAUUCCAAUUCAAACUUUGAUAAUAAUCUAUUCAUAAAUCAUGAUCCAUCAUUUCAUAAAUCACAGUUCAGGAAAUCCUCAACUAUUCAGUAUCCUCCAUUAUCGGCUAAGCAACUGAAUUUAGCCUGCUAAACCAGCAUGACAAUGGCGGGUUGAAUAAUCAAGAAGAUCCCAAUUCAUUCAAAGCUCUAACUAUCACUGAGCAACACAUGCUUCAAUGACAAUCUGAACUUCGAAUUAAUUUGUAAAACGGAAAUUCUUUAGAAACUUGAAGAUUAGAAAGAAUGGGUCAGAAUACUCGCACUUUCGAACAUUGAAAAGAAAGGUAUGAAUACUUGAAACAUAUACCAAAGGAAUGGAUCAGAAUAUUUGCAAUAUAUCCAAGAGAAAGGUUUAGGAUACUUGCAACACAUAUAGAAAAGAAUGGAUCAGAAUAUGCAAUAUAUCCAAAAGCAGGGUGUAGGAUACUUGCCUUAAAUCUGACUCCAAUCUCACAUCUCUAUCUCAUCUUUCAACUUUCACAAUCUAUGCAUCUCGUAAUCUCUAGACCAUCUCUAGUUAUACUUUAUUCGCCACAUCGCUUCGCUUACUCGAUUCAUCCCUUAUUCGCUUUGCAAUACCCUUCCGACUUUCUGACGUCUUCAAGCGUACACGUCUCGUCCAAAUCCUUUACGAGAAUAAAAUAAUACUAUAAUCACUAAUCAAUUUAUCGCAUAUGCAUAUCACGUAUAUCGAUACCCACUUAUAUAUCCCUUUACCUAUCAAAUAUCACUUAACACAUAAUCAUGCUUUGACUCUAUCAUAUAGUCAAGUCAUAUAUCACAAAUCAAUCAUAUAAUUCCUGUCGAAAUCCGACAUCGUCUCGUCUAGUUGUAGGACUAUCCAUAUGUUAUCCUAUUCUGUCCAACAACCAAUCAACCAAUUCCAACUCCUAUAAUCCAUACGUUCUUAUCCCAUAUUAAUCAAAUCAUGACACUAUGUCAUAUAAGUCAUUUAUCACAUAUGUACCAUAUUAGGAAUAACCACAUAUAUCACGUAAUCAUCAAUUCAUAACAACCAAGUCACGUAUAGUCACAUAUUGCAUAUUACAUAGCAUAUAAUCACAUUCUAGAUUCAAUCAUAUUAUCUCGUCAUAUUAGAAUAGACUUCAUGAGCUUUCAUCUCUCUUUCGUUUCACUCGAUUCCGACUUACGGAUCAAAAGAUAUGUUCAAAACAGUUUUCUCACUCUCCUAUCGGCACAUAACACAUCCAACCAAUAGCAGACAACACACAACACAUAAGGUUUCCCAUCCCAAUUGAUGUCAAAUCAACUCUUGGGUUAAAAAUGAUUUUUCGGGAAUUUUCUGGAAAUUUUUAAACAUUUUUCGGAAUUAAAAUCGAUAAAAGAAUCACUUUUCAAAUAAAUAAUCAAGUCCCAAAUACUUGAAAUUGGACUUGAAAUCAUUCCUAAACAAUUAUCGAGCCUUGAAAAUAAUUUGGAAAAAUAUUUUAAAGCUCGAAACUAUUUUUCGGAAUUUUUAAAUCAAAAAGGAUAAUUAAAUCCAAAUAAUUAAUCAAUUAAAAUCAAUUAAUAAUUAAUUAAAAUAAUUAAUCAAUUAAUAUUUAAAUUAAUUGACCAAUUAAAAUAAUUAAUUACUAAUUAAAAUUAAUUAAUAAACUAAUUUAGAUUUAUUUUUGAAUAAAGAAUCAAUUAAAAACUAUUUUUGAAAUUAAAAUACAUAAAUAAAAACAUUUUUGAAAAUCAAAAGGUUUAAAGUGUAAACUUUAAAACGUUUGAGGUCUGGAUUGGUAAAACAGAAACUAGGGUGCUACAACUUCACCACUUUCAAAAGUUUGGGGGCUAAACGGCACUUUCGCCGUCGCCGCCCCCAGACUCGCCGCCGGCGAGUCGCCGGUGUUGCCACCACGCCCAGAGCUCAGCGAAACACUCCAGAUUCAUCAACUAGUAUCCCAGGAACUCGUUUCUGAAAUCAAAACAUCCAAUAGAUCAAUAUAUAAGCCGGAAAAACUCCACGAAACUCGCCGUCGCCGGCGAGUUCGUUUUGCCCCGGCAAGUCGAUUCUAGGCUCCCACGUCCGAUUUAAAAACUGAAAUCGAUUCUUCUCAACUCAACAAACAGGCUGAUACCCUCCAAUUUUACCCAGAUCUCCCCGAUUACAAAGCCCCAAAUAUCAAUUUAGAACAUUCAUACACCUUCAAGAACAUUCAAAAACAUAACUUAAUAAUCAAACCCCUUUUUCUAGGUGUUAUGGAACUCAAAAAUCAACAUAUAAUAUACCAAAACGACGAGAAAAACACGUUCUACAACAUGGAAUCAUCAAAACAAUCAAACAACCACGUUUGCAAAAAUUCACUAUUUAAAUCAUAGUAAUUCGAAUUUUAAAACUUCGAUUACUCCCUACCUGUGAAUCUCAUGUUGUUUUUGAUGAUUGAUUUGGGUUCUACUCUUCGAUAUCUUCAAUUUGACUAUUUGCACGCUUGAUUCUGACUCCAAUAACACCUUCAAAUCCUCGUUUGAUUAUGAAGAACACGAAGAACGCAGCUCGGUUUCUCUCGGUAUUCG
rnacentral:lncRNA from 1 species